UGUUGGUGAGGUUGGAGUAUACUGUAAGGAGUUCUGGUGCUGCUACUAUGGGACUUCUUAUCUUCAGUGGCUGCAGCCUCCAAGGACCAAGUUGAACUGCUGGAUUGUCAAAUGGAGAUGUCUGUCUUUUUAGAUGGCUCUCUCCCUCACCAGUCUAUUGGACUUGCCUUGAAUCACUGCAUUACUGAGAAAAACCACAUCCAUCCGAGUUGAUCAUCAUAUGAUCUUGCUGUUACCUGUACAAUGACCUCCUGGUUCUGCUCGUUUCCCUCAGCAUCAGUUCAUGAAGGAAGCGGCCUUAGAGGGAAUUGUGCUGCCUGCCCCAUGUCUCCAAGUCAUCCCACUACCCAACACUUAUCCCUGAGUCAAAAGGUACAUGUGUUUUAAUAUGUUUGGGGGUUUAGUUGCAAAUUACUUUCAAAGAAUGGAAGAGCCACUUCACAGGUUCACCUAGAGGAUAUUAAUGUAUAUAUCUUCCCUACAUAGCCCUUCCAUUUUGCUAUUUUGCACUUUUGUUAUCUUUGUAAAUCUGAUGAGUGAGGUGGAAUGUCACAAAAAUGCUAAACACAUCACGUACUGUUCACAAUGUAAAUAAAAAUUUUAUUCAU